UUUAUGCUAGCGAUGUUGUUUUCCCAAAAGCUGUUAGUACUGUUCCACAGGUAGUUAGCACUGUUCCAUUGAAAUCUGCUGAAGAAACUGUUUCAUUGACUCAUGCAACAGUAGAUCCACAACCAUCUGGAGUUUCCCUGAUACCAACAGUAACUGUGAGGGUUGAUAACAACUCAGAUCCUGAAGUUAGUCCAGUAAUUAUCCCGAUGGAGCCUGAGAAUAGGGGUCAGGACCACAUGCAACAACCACCACCACCUGUUGUUCCAAAGGCUGCUAGUGAAGAAGGAGCAAAAAUUGAUUCACCUAAACAUCCCGAUGGAGCCUGAGAAUAGGGGUCCGGACCACAUGCAACAACCACCACCACCUGUUAUUCCAAAGGCUGCUAGUGAAGAAGGAGCAAAAAUUGAUUCACCCAAACAGUGGGCUAGUCUAUUCCAGAGUAAUCGACUUGCUGCGAAUGGUAUGUCUCUAGAGUAUAUUCCCCCUGCACUUGUUAAUGGUAAACCAGUUGGUCAGCUGGUGGAGGAGGAAGAAGUAAAAUGGAAAUGUGCCCUUGUUGUAUUUGUGCUAGGUAAUAGCCCUGAGUAUAAUGGUAUGAAAAGGUUUAUUAACCUCCACUGGUCUCAUGUGCCUGAACCCGAGCUAUUUUAUCAUGAUGAGGGUUACUAUAUUAUUAAAUUUAGUUCCCUAGACGAUGCCAAAGAAAUUCUGUGUGGGGGUCCUUAUACUAUUGCCAACAGACCUAUGAUUUUGAAGCAGUGGUCUGCUGAAUUUGAUUUCAAAGCAGCCUUUCCUUCAGAAAUCCCCUUGUGGAUCAAGUUCCCUAACUUGCCUAUGUCCUGUUGGGGUAGCAAAUCUUUAAGUAGGAUUGCUAG
rnacentral:lncRNA from 1 species